rnacentral:lncRNA from 1 species
UCAGUUCCCUGGUCUAGAAAAGGCAAUGACCUACUACCACAAACAAGCAAGAGUGCCACCUAGUGGCAGCUCACUUAAUAUGCACAUGGUUCUCGGGCUCUGGAAGAAAUUUAAGAAAGAGAGGAAGAGAGUAAAUACUGCAGAGACUGACUCUCUGGUCUAACAUGCUUCACCAGCUUCAGUGAACUGAAUUGCAAAGGCUCCUUCCUGCCUAGGAUUUUAGAUUUCAGAAAUGUGACGGAUUGGGUUAACCCGGGAAAGAUAUCAUUCUAAACCCUAUUAACCCUAGCAUAUAUUACCAAAUAGUAUAAGGCUCUUCUGGAGACUGACCGUUUUCUCAUAGCACCGUUUAUGAUACAGCCCAAAUCAUCCGGUUUCAGAGAGCUAUUGCCCUCUCUUCAUUCACUUAGUCAUUUAAUGAACAUUUAUUGAACACCUCUAAUUUCCAGGAACUGCACCAGGCAUUAAGAACACAAAGAUGAAUAAGAUACAUUCUCCAGCUGGUGAAUUAUUCAUAAUCUAUUAAUUGUGGCGGAUGAUCUGUUGUCAACUCGGCGUCACCACCACCCCCUUUAAGGUCUCCUCUUAGAAUGCCCAUCCCUGGGAUACGGAGCUGCCUCUAAGAGGAAGUGGCUCGAGAUUUGGAAGGCCUUAGAGAAAGAGAAGCUGUACUCUCCAGAAGCAGCAGCAGCAAGAGGUCAGGUUCAUGAGCAGAAGAGAGAUCCACAGUGGCUCCCUGGUGAGCUCUUGGGGACCACUUGUGUCGCUACUGCGCCCUAAGACUGUGAGAAUGCUUCUCCAGGAUUCUAAAGAACCCAGGCGCUUUCCGGUUCGUUUCUGAGAACUAACCGCACUGUUACUGCGCGCCAGAUCUUCUUCAGUGUCUCUCCCUCCCAUCCGCAGCAGCUUCCCUCCUUCAUUACUCCCUGAGCUCCUCCGGUAGUCAAGUAAGCACCUAAUUCCUGUCGCAAGCCCUCGGUGCCCAGAAGACAUGGAGUGGCUUCUGUUUUCCUGACUAAACCGUGACUGCUUCAGACACAUAGUGAGAUAAUCCUGUAACAUCGCCAUGGCAUAAUGAUGCAGGAACAUACGAGGGUUUACGAGCUCUGAGUAGCAGGAAAGCAUCCCAGCUUUAGAAGGAUCAGGGGAGGCUCCAGGGAGAUUGGCUUCUGAGGAAGAAAAAGAGGAGGUCAGCGUGUCCUUAUACCUGCUGUUUUUCAA